UCCUGAUAAGUGCGUGAAGUUGUGCAUGCAUGAGCCCAAAAACCUGCAUUUGGAUCCCAGAAGAAUGGUCUCUUUUUUCCUGAGAAUAAUGCACCUUUUGUAGAUGAGGAUGUUGAAAACUCUGUAAUUUGGAAUUGGUGCUUCCAACUACAGCGCGGCCAGUGAGACACAGAGCCCCCACAGCACAGAUAAAACUUAAGGCUAGCUUCAUGGGAAGCAGCCGAAGAAGGAUGAACUACUACAUGGAGCUUUUUAAUGGGAUUCAGUACACCUACAAAAGAGGAGGAAGUGAACAGCUUUGAUGCACAAAGGUGUCGGUUGCAAACCAACGGCCAGCAAAAAGGUGGGAAGCGGCAGAAUGUCAGCAUUUGAUAAAUUGUAAGGAAAAGUUUUCUAACAUAGACAUCCUCUCUUAGAGGAACAGCAUGGACAGGAAAAAUGGUGGUGCUAAAAUGAGCUGUAAAGGCUCACUGUGCUGAAGGAGGUAUGCACUGAGCUCAGCAGUGUGCUGGCUGUAUUCAGACAACCUUUCCUUGCUUUUUGUCUUCCUAUAUAAACACGCGGAAAAAAACUUGAGAUCUGAACGACAGACUCAAUUGCCUAUCAGAGGGUGGCUGAAGUGUUUGAAGUGCUGGCUGAUCUUCCUCAAACCCUGUGGACUUAAGUGCACCAGGAAUACUAACAACAUCUAGAAGAUAAAUGGUGAGUGUGGCCUGAGGUGGUGUGAAGCAAGGUGCUGGGCGUUCCCUGCUGAGAAGGGUUUUGCUACUGCGUGGCCCUUUGCCCCCAUUGAUUCCAGCCAGGAAACAGUGCAAAGCAUUGCAUUUAAGCAGACUUAAGCCAAUGUGUGAUUGCAGCUAGCAAAGUCCUGCCAGGACCAGGGGAGCCAAAACUCUUCUGCACUGAAGAUACUGAAACAGCAGCAACGUUCAUUUCACCCUUCACAGAGUUCAUCAUUACUGUACAUGUAUUCCCUCAGCAGGGGAAAAUAGCAGCCAAAAGUAAAAUAAUUGUUUCUCCUUGUGGAGGAAUGCUCCUAGAAAUGGCCCUAGAGACUAUUCUAAGCAAGCCCAAUUUUUUCAGCCUUAUCUAAGAAUAGUACCAUCUGCUUUCAUCACAUAAUUUACACAACGCUUAACAAAAGACAAAGCAUAAUAAAACCUUCUAGCCCCCUCCUCGGGAGCAGUGCCUUUGAAAGAGGACUGGGGACCCAACUUGUCCAAUUUGGUUUGGGAUUAUCACUCUAACAUUGGAAAUCCUCUGUACAAGGAAGCAAUGUACAGUGGUGUAAAUAGCAGAAGUUACUUGUGUUUUUUUUUUCUUGUUGCCCCUUACCUAAAAGUAUUUUUCAUUUAAGAGGAGAAACACAUAUAAAUUAAAAAAUAUAUAUAUGGAUGUAAAGUUGGGUCAUUUUUUGAUUUGGGAUAGCAAUAUAUUAUUAUUUGUUGCAUACUUCUGAAGUAAAAAUUGAUUUCAGUGUGAAGUGUACAAAUCCUUGAACAGAUAGCAAACUUCAGAGUUUUGUGCAGGAGAUAAAGUAUCACAUUGAAAUUGAUUAUACCUACCUACAGGACACAGAGAUUGAAAGGAAAAUGAGCAGAAAGGUCAUGGAAGAUAGCAAAAGAGAUUUGGACUGUACACAGAUUGAUGGCAAAGGUUUUGUAAGAGCAUAAAUGCAAAAUGUAUGAAUAAUGUCCUGACCUCUUAUCUCAGGUAAAACACUGAAAGAUUUGCCUACAAAUGUACAACUGUAGCCAGUUAUUUCGGUGAUGAAUGCUUUGUAUUUGAGCUGGCUCACAGAAACUGUGCCCUCCUGUAUCUCAUGUGGCUUUGGUGGGUUAUCAUGAGGAAAGUGAAGCCAUCUGAAAGGACAGUGGAAAGGACACUUAGGUUCCAAAGCCCAAAUGUUGGCACUGUGCGCAAAAUCACAGCAUCUCAGAGGCAUCAGAGAGGUGAGCUGAAAUAGCUGGGAGCCCUGUGUGGGCACCUGGUCUGAGAAAUAAAUUCAGAAAUUAGGGAUCUGUGCUGGUUUUCUGGGCAGCAUGCAUGUGUUAACCUGCAUACAACAUAUCUAUCUGUUAGACUGGAGACCUGGUUGUGUGGUCCUUGCUUUGUGUAAUUGUUGGGUCUCAUGAAACCAAUAAAUGCCUACAAACCCCAUGUAUCAGUUCAGGCAUAGGAUGACUAUUUUUGGGUGGCAAUGGUUUUGGUGAAUGUAAUAAUGUUU
rnacentral:lncRNA from 1 species